rnacentral:rRNA from 1 species
UCUACCUCUGAUGGCUUUUUUAUAUCCCAGGAAAAGUAUAUCCAGGAUCUUCUUUCUCGUGCUGCUCUUACCGACGAGCGCAUUGUUGAGACUCCUAUGGAGCUCAAUGUUCACCUCUGUGCUACUGAUGGUGAUCCUCUCCCUGACCCGACGCGUUAUCAUCAUCUCGUUGGCAGUCUUGUCUAUCUAGCUGUCACUCGUCCGGACAUCUCUUAUCCGGUUCAUAUUCUGAGUCAGUUUGUCUCUGCUCCCACAUCGGUUCACUAUAGUCAUCUCCUUCGUGUUCUCCGAUAUCUUCGAGGCACGAUCUCUCAUCGUCAAUUCUUUCCUAGCUCCAGUUCUUUACAGCUUCGGGCCUAUUUGGAUGCUACGUGGGCUAGUGAUCCUUCUGAUCGCUGUUCACUUUCUGCUUACUGUGUUUUUCUUGGCGGUUCUCUCAUUGCCUGGAAGACGAAGAAACAGAUUGCAGUUUCCUGUUCGAGUGCUGAGGCUGAGUUGCGAGCCAUGGCUCUUUUGACGGUAGAGGUGACUUGGUUACGGUGGUUACUUCAGGAUUUUGGUGUUUCUGUCACUACACCGACUCUGAUCCUAUCUGACAGUACAGGUGCUAUUAGCAUUGCGCGCGAUCCUGUGAAGCAUGAGCUCACCAAGCAUAUUGGUGUUGAUGCUUUCUAUGUGCGCGCUGGUGUGCAGGAUCAGGUUAUUGCUCUUCAAUAUGUGCCUUCCGAGUUACAGUUGGCGGAUUUCCUGACGAAGGCCCAGACU